rnacentral:rRNA from 1 species
AUUGAACGCUGGCGGCAUGCUUUACACAUGCAAGUCGAACGGUAACAGGUUAAGCUGACGAGUGGCGAACGGGUGAGUAAUGCAUCGGAACGUGCCCGGUCGUGGGGGAUAACACUUCGAAAGAAGUGCUAAUACCGCAUACGAUCUGAGGAUGAAAGCGGGGGACCGUAAGGCCUCGCGCGAUCGGAGCGGCCGAUGUCAGAUUAGGUAGUUGGUGGGGUAAAGGCUCACCAAGCCGACGAUCUGUAGCUGGUCUGAGAGGACGACCAGCCACACCAGGACUGAGACACGGCCCAGACUCCUACGGGAGGCAGCAGUGGGGAAUUUUGGACAAUGGGCGCAAGCCUGAUCCAGCAAUGCCGCGUGCAGGAAGAAGGCCUUCGGGUUGUAAACUGCUUUUGUACGGAGCGAAAAGGCUCUCUCUAAUACAGGGGGCUCAUGACGGUACCGUAAGAAUAAGCACCGGCUAACUACGUGCCAGCAGCCGCGGUAACAC